rnacentral:rRNA from 1 species
CCUACGGGAGGCAGCAGUGAGGAAUAUUGGUCAAUGGACGAGAGUCUGAACCAGCCAAGUAGCGUGAAGGAUGACUGCCCUAUGGGUUGUAAACUUCUUUUAUAUGGGAAUAAAACGUUCCACGUGUGGGAUUUUGUAUGUACCAUAUGAAUAAGGAUCGGCUAACUCCGUGCCAGCAGCCGCGGUAAUACGGAGGAUCCGAGCGUUAUCCGGAUUUAUUGGGUUUAAAGGGAGCGUAGGUGGAUUGUUAAGUCAGUUGUGAAAGUUUGCGGCUCAACCGUAAAAUUGCAGUUGAAACUGGCAGUCUUGAGUACAGUAGAGGUGGGCGGAAUUCGUGGUGUAGCGGUGAAAUGCUUAGAUAUCACGAAGAACUCCGAUUGCGAAGGCAGUUCACUGGACUGCAACUGACACUGAGGCUCGAAAUUGUGGGUAUCAAACAGGAUUAGAUACCCCUGUAGUC